rnacentral:rRNA from 1 species
UACGUAGGGGGCAAGCGUUGUCCGGAACCAUUGGGCGUAAAGAGCGUGUAGGCGGUCCGAUAAGUCGGUUGUGAAAGUCCAGGGCUCAACCCUGGGAUGCCGACCGAUACUGUCGGACUAGAGUUCGGAAGAGGCGAGUGGAAUUCCCGGUGUAGCGGUGAAAUGCGCAGAUAUCGGGAGGAACACCUAUGGCGAAGGCAGCUCGCUGGGACGUUACUGACGCUGAGACGCGAAAGCGUGGGGAGCAAACAGG